rnacentral:rRNA from 1 species
CAGUAGCCGCGGGAAUACGUGGGUCCCGAGCGUUGUCCGGAUUUAUUGGGCGUAAAGCGAGCGCAGGCGGUUAGAUAAGUCUGAAGUUAAAGGCUGUGGCUUAACCAUAGUACGCUUUGGAAACUGUUUAACUUGAGUGCAAGAGGGGAGAGUGGAAUUCCAUGUGUAGCGGUGAAAUGCGUAGAGAUGUGGAGGAACACCAGUGGCGAAGGCGACUCUCUGGUCUGUAACUGACGCUGAGGAGCGAAAGCGUGGGGAGCGAACAGGAUUAGAGACCCCGGUAGUCCCUGUCUCUUAUACA